UGGGACACAGAUGACUCAUUUCCUGUCCUAAGUGUGUCUUCUCCGAGGUGUGGAACAGAUCCUUCAGAUAUGGAGCCAGCGAAGGGGGUCAAGUCAGUGGGCCUCUGGGCCAAUUCGGACUAUGAACUCCCAGGAGGCAAGGGCUAUCAUCUGCAUCUUGCUGUCUUCCGGGUGACCUGCUUCUUUGCUUCUUUCUGCCUGGCACUGGUAGUGUCAACAACUUGCCGUGGUUGACACGUGGUCACCUGCAGUGAUUGACAGCAGGGAGAAGGAGUGGAAGCAAGAAGGCAUCAGCUAUUCACUGGCCAGUUGUGAUGGUCAGACUUCUCCUAGGCUGUGGCUCCUGUGAGAUGGCCAUAA